rnacentral:rRNA from 1 species
GGCCAAGCGCGGAAGGGCGCGUGGUGGAUGCCUAGGCGCGGGCAGGCGAUGAAGGACGUGGCAAGCUGCGAUAAGCCGAGGGGAGCCGCAGGCGGGCUGAGAUCCUCGGAUGUCCGAAUGGGGGAACCCGGCGGGCGUAGUGGCCCGUCAUCCUGGGGCGGAAGUCUCAGGAGGCCAACCCGGGGAACUGAAACAUCUCAGUACCCGGAGGAAGAGAAAUCAAGCGAGAUUCCCUGAGUAGCGGCGAGCGAAAGGGGAGGAGCCCAAACCGUAGGUCGUUGAGGCCUGCGGGGUUGUGGGGCCGGUGUGGGGCGUAGCCCGUCUCUUGUCGUAUGCGAGCCGAAGCGGUCUGGAACGACCCGCCGUAGGAGGUGAGAGCCCUGUAGGCGGAGCGUGCGGCGGGAGGUGGCACCGGUACCCGAGUAGGCCGGGGUUCGAGGAGCCCUGGCUGAAUCUGGGGGGACCACCCUCCAAGGCUAAAUACUCGCCCGCGACCGAUAGUGCACGAGUACCGUGAGGGAAAGGUGAAAAGAACGCCGGGAGGCGAGUGAAAGAGAACCUGAAACCACGUGCCUACAAGCGGUGGGAGCCUGGUAUGGUCCUUCGGGAUCGUGCUGGGUGACUGCGUGCCUUUUGCAUUAUGAUCCGGCGAGUUGUCCUCGCGGGCGAGGCUAAGGUGUUCAGCACCGGAGCCGGAGCGAACGCGAGUCUGAAGAGGGCGUGGCUCUCGUUGGAGAGCCGGAGUCCGCGGGGGCAGACCCGAAACCUCAGCGAUCUACCCAUGGCCAGGCUGAAGC